rnacentral:rRNA from 1 species
UGCCAGACUCCUACGGGAGGCAGCAGUGGGGAAUAUUGCACAAUGGGGGAAACCCUGAUGCAGCAACGCCGCGUGAGUGAAGAAGUAUUUCGGUAUGUAAAGCUCUAUCAGCAGGGAAGAAGAUGACGGUACCUGAGUAAGAAGCCCCGGCUAACUACGUGCCAGCAGCCGCGGUAAUACGUAGGGGGCAAGCGUUAUCCGGAUUUACUGGGUGUAAAGGGAGCGUAGACGGUGAGACAAGUCUGAAGUGAAAGCCCGGGGCUCAACCCCGGGACUGCUUUGGAAACUGCCUGACUGGAGUGCUGGAGAGGCAAGCGGAAUUCCUAGUGUAGCGGUGAAAUGCGUAGAUAUUAGGAAGAACACCAGUGGCGAAGGCGGCUUGCUGGACAGUAACUGACGUUGAGGCUCGAAAGCGUGGGGAGCAAACAGGAUUAGAUACCCGAGUA